GAUGAACGCUGGCUACAGGCUUAACACAUGCAAGUCGAGGGGAAACGACGGGGAAGCUUGCUUCCCCGGGCGUCGACCGGCGCACGGGUGAGUAACGCGUAUCCAACCUGCCUCUGACUGAGGGAUAACCCGUCGAAAGUCGGCCUAAUACCUCAUGGCAUCGUCUGCGGGCAUCCAACGACGAUUAAAGAUUUCAUCGGUCAGGGAUGGGGAUGCGUCUGAUUAGCUAGUUGGCGGGGUAACGGCCCACCAAGGCGACGAUCAGUAGGGGUUCUGAGAGGAAGGGCCCCGAGAGGGGAACCGGGAAACGGGCCAAAGAGAUACGGGCGGGAGCAGUGCGGGAGGUAGCUGAGGGGGAGAGAGCAUGAUCCGGGGAAGUAGGAUGCAGGAAGGCGGCCUGAGGGGUUGUAACCUGCUGUUUGGCGGGGACAAUGGGAGGGACGGGUCCGUCAUUGAAGGUACCGGAUAAAGAAGGACCGGCUAAUUACGUG
rnacentral:rRNA from 1 species